CACUCUGUGCAGCCGCUCCAGGGAGGCAGCAGUUGUGGUGACUGGAGCGGCUGCACAGAGCGU
ensembl:miRNA